CUCCGCUUGGUGUAGUUGGUUUAUCACGUUCGACUGUAAUAGCAAUUGUUAUCGAAAGGUCCCUAGUUCGAUUCUGGGAGCGGAGAA
rnacentral:tRNA from 1 species